rnacentral:rRNA from 1 species
AGCGUCUCACGGCGCACCCAGAAACCCUAUGUGAACCUAUACCUCUCUGUUGCCUCGGCGCCGGCCGGGGGCUUCUAUAAGCCCCCCCUCCCCGUGAGGAGCAGGUCCGCCGACGGCCCUACAAACUCUUGUUUUUAUAACCCGUCUCUUCUGAGUACAAAACAUAAAUGAAUCAAAACUUUCAACAACGGAUCUCUUGGUUCUGGCAUCGAUGAAGAACGCAGCGAAAUGCGAUAAGUAAUGUGAAUUGCAGAAUUCAGUGAAUCAUCGAAUCUUUGAACGCACAUUGCGCCCGCUGGUAUUCCAGCGGGCAUGCCUGUUCGAGCGUCAUUUCAACCCUCAAGCCUUGCUUGGUGUUGGGGCGCUGCCGCUCCCUUUCGGGGAGAGGCAGGCCCUGAAAUUUAGUGGCGAGCUCGCCAGGACUCCGAGCGUAGUAGUUUACAACCUCGCUUAGGAAGGACUGGUGAUGCCCUGCCGUAAAACCCCCCAAUUUCUGAAAAGUUGACCUCGGAUCAGGUAGGAAUACCCGCUGAACUUAAGCAUAUCAAUAAGCGGAGGAAAAGAAACCAACAGGGAUUGCCCUAGUAACGGCGAGUGAAGCGGCAACAGCUCAAAUUUGAAAUCUGGCUUCGGCCCGAGUUGUAAUUUGCAGAGGAUGCUUCUGGCGCGGUGCCUUCCGAGUUCCCUGGAACGGGACGCCAUAGAGGGUGAGAGCCCCGUAUGGUUGGAUACCAAGCCUGUGUGAAGCUCCUUCGACGAGUCGAGUAGUUUGGGAAUGCUGCUCAAAAUGGGAGGUAAAUCUCUUCUAAAGCUAAAUACCGGCCAGAGACCGAUAGCGCACAAGUAGAGUGAUCGAAAGAUGAAAAGCACCUUGAAAAGGGGGUUAAAUAGUACGUGAAAUUGUUGAAAGGGAAGCGCUUGUGACCAGACUUGCGCCAGGCGGCUCAUCCGGCGUUCUCGCCGGUGCACUCCGCCUGGUUCAGGCCAGCAUCGGUUCUCGCGGGGGGAUAAGAACGGUGGGAAUGUGGCUCCCCUCGGGGAGUGUUAUAACCCACCGUACGAUACCCUCGCGGGGACCGA